CACAGACAAAGUGUAUAUAUAUAUAUUGGUUUAAUGACCAUCCAUAUUUAUUUUUCAGUCUCUUUAUUACAAUACAAACAGAAAAUACAGGAAAUAUGUAGGGCUACACAAAAUGUAAAAAAAAAAUUCUGAAAAAAUUUGUUUCAACCAAAAAACAGUAUUUAGUGUGACCUCCUGAAACUCUGAGAAACUUCUCAUCAGAUUUUGAAAGUUUUCUUGGCCUUCCAGUCCUUUUCCAUAACAUUUAGAUUUAAGAGAGCCAGGUUCCUGCUAUUGCGCAAGUGUAAGGAGAGGUCACUAUGUACUUGCCACUUUAGCCUAUAAAAGCAUUUUUUUUUAUUUCUUUUUUAAUACUGCAUACAAAUUUACUGUAUUUUCUGGUUAUAUUCUAAUAAAGAGACUGAGAAAUAAUUAUAUAUCUUUAUAUUAUUGCUAAAACGUCUAAUGGUGACCUAAGACUUUUGCACAGUACUGUAUAUAUAUAUAUAUAUAUAUAUAUAUAUAUAUAUAUAUAUAUAUAUAUAGCCUUGUAUAUGUUGCAUGAUGUUGGCUGUAUUGUCAGUGGUAAAUUGUAGCUGAUGUUAGCUUAUUUUUAGAACGGCACGGUGGAUGAAAUCUUGAGGCUGGCAUUGGCUUCAGGUUACCCCUCUGCAGGUAGCAGUUCCCUGACAAUUCAUUUGAAAUUUGGCAGCGUUCGUGACAGCGAAAACGCAAAAGGAAAUGCAAGAUUUUCAACUUCGUUUGGAUUAUGUCACAAUUUAUGCGUCCACAUAUGUAAAACGCAAUUGCAGUUCCCUGACAAUUCAAGAAACGGCAUAACUCAUCUCCUUCGUCAGCACUUAACAGCGCCCUGCUGAAUGAAUGAAUAAAUAAUAAAUAAAUAAUAUCUUCCCCUAUGCUUUCACUUUGCUUAUCUUACAGCUUAUGCGUUUGCAUAUGAAUUAGGCCUAUGUGAUAAAUCACAUGAUUCAGAAACUCUGAAAUCCCUCACAAGCAAAGUUUCGUUUCUGUGAAAACGUCGACUGUAAUGUGUCUGGACCGGAUUGGCUGCUGAUUUGUUUGUUCUUUGAUGAGGCGUGAACAGUUUCUGCAGGAAGAGUAUAAAUAACGGAUGAAGAACCAUUUCCGCAUUAACUGCUCUACGCUGCUCUGAAGCUUAAACAAAUCAAUCAGAAUGAUCUUUUCCGAGGGGAGUGAUGAAGAGGAUGAUGAUGAUGAUGAUGAAGAAGAUGAUGGAGGUGCUGGAGUAAGUGUCUGCUGCCAAGGGUAGACAACUGCUCCAGACCUUGAUGCAGCGUGUCGAGAAAGACCCAAUAGUACGCUGGAUCCAUGAACUGUGUGUAUUUGCUGACACAAGCAAGCAGCAGCCAAAGAAACACACAGCUUCUUUUGUGAUAAAUGUCACAACCCAAGCACCUCCCGCGCCAUGUGUGUCCAUGGCAAACCUGACACGUAGACCAUGAUUCCUCCAUGGGAACGAUGGACCUCGCAACUUUCCCGCUGUUCAGUGGCAGCACCAUCGGUUUUCUUCAGAACGGCUCUGUUUUUGUGUCUGUUUGUGCAACCCUGAAGAAACCAUGGAGAGAAGAAUGAAAUAUACAUGGAGAGGUGAUGACCUCAUGAGUAAAGAGCUGCUGUUCCAGAGGUUGGAAGAUGUGAGCCAGUUAUUUCUGUCAUCACAAUCGUCCUCAAUCACCAUUGUGCCAUCGAGCAAUGCACAUGACUCCAAGUUAUUUCAGCAGGACUGACUGUUUUUUGCAACAGGUCUACAGUAGUCAACCAUCCAUUAAAAUACAAACAGAGAUGGGCUGGAUGGGCAUUUUGAAAAUGUACUAAUGGAUGCAUGUUGCUCACAUUUAUUUAUUGGGAGGUCAAUGCCCCUUUGAAGCCCAGGUGUAUUUGUUGUAAGGAUAUAUUCAGACUAUGGCUGCUUGGUCCAAAGCUCUCCAGUAUAACUAUAGCAGAAGGUUUCUGGAGCAGCGGAUCAGGGUCAGAGGUAAAAGCCCACUGUUUUAUGUUUUUUUUUUUUUUUUCUUUUGAAUUCUUUUAUCUCACUUGAUGCCACGUCAACGCCACUCGGCUAUAGAGAGCAUGCUCAGAGCGAGAUGACAUGUUCACCAGGAUAGGGUUCACAGGCACAACGGUUCUGCACGUCGAGCUGACUUAGUUGAAUCCGCUGGUUCAGAUACCUUACUAACACUACACAAAAUGA